rnacentral:lncRNA from 1 species
GAAAGAAAGAGGAUCGAGACUUUCGAAGUAAGUAUAAAUACCGAUUUAAAUCUUUGUCCCACGGUUUGAAUAAAGAACAAGAGGAACAAAGGGUUUGAUCGAUGAAAGGCGCGAAUGAAGCGCUUUGUCGAGAAUACGUUCGAGAGUGAAACUUUUUCGAGAAUAUUUUCUCGCGAAAUGGACAUUGUGUUGGGAGUGAAGGAAAUUAGUCACCCUCGACUGUAGUGUAUUCAUUUGUAAAAAAAAAGUUUUCGAAAGUUUUAUACAUCCUUAAAGUAAAGCUAAUAUAUUUGGAGAUAAAUUUUUCAUGAGUUGUUCUCGAAAAGCCAUUUGUUACCAGCGAGAAUACUCUCGUCGAGAAUGAAAGUCACUGUUCGACACCCAUUUUUAACGGAAUGUCGAUUUGUGAAAAAUUUUUCUCGAGAGAGGUUCGUUCACUUUCGAAUGUAUUCGCACCUUAACGUCGGUAGGGUGGAAACGAAAUCUCGUCCGAAUCUUUUUUUUUCGUUGUAGUUCACAAAUUAUUGAGGCAUUUUUACACAGGUAAGGACAUCAAUUCCCAUCACCUGCAUUGCGCAUCCAGUUUCGCCGUGUGCACUUCUAUACGGAUGUAUGGGACGUCCCACGUGCUUGGACAGGAUACAAACACGGAUCCAAGAGCAAUGACAUGCACUCAUGGUGACAGCGGCUAAAGUGCACUUUUCUCCAAGCGACGAAUGAAAAAUGAGAGGACCAGUGGAUGGAUAACGGGGAAGAAACGGUCAGACACGCGAUUCGUGGAUACAUACAAGUUUUUCCUGGGCAAAAGAAAAGAAUUAAUGAGACUGGGUGGAAUGGUUGAUUCUUAUAAAAAUAAAAAAAAGGAAGAGAAAGAAAGAAGAAGGAGAAGAGAGAGAGAGAAAGAGGGAAAAGAAAAAAAGAGAAUUGAUACAAGGGAAAAGAAAAGUAUCGCGAGAAUGAAAGUUUCUCUUCCAACUGGGCAAGUGUAUCUUCACGGUCUAAAGUCGCGUGAAUCGUUCGUCGGUUUUUUCCCCCUUUUUCCCUCUUUUCGUAGUAAAGAGGGAUGGCAAGCGUUAACUUCAUAAUAUAAAUUUUCUUUCCAUCCAAACAACACAAAUGGAUAAAAUCGAAGAAAGCGGAACAAAUAUCGCGAAGUUUUGCGAAAAUAUUUUCACGAUAUUGAUGUUUCUUUUGUAAAAGAAUCUAUUUUUAUUUUCAUUCCCUGUAUAUAUUAUUUGCAUAUUUAAUUUUUUAUUACGUGGAAGUAUAAGAAGUAGUUUUGCGAUCAGUUAUAAAACAGUAAAUUGAUUCCCGGAAUGACUCGAUCGUUAGAAUGAAACCUUAUCAUCGAUUGCUAUCACGAAACCCUCGCAAAUCAAGAUUACGUGAGCUGUGUCGUUCUCGCCUUAACCUCGUUUCUCUUAACUUCUUGCCACUCAUCUAUGUCAAAUCAGGUAAUUUCAGUUAAGUGGUUUUGUGAAAAACGUUCGAAACAAACCGGUAUUUCGUUAAACAACACUGCUUUACGUUAUCCCAUAAUUUCUGUCAAGUCGAGCAGAAGAAACGAAACCUUCGUUAAUUUAACACUCUUCUUUUUCUGUCCGUGUCAAUUUCUGUUCCGUUUUUCUUCCACUUGAAUUGAAUUUGUGGUUUAU